rnacentral:rRNA from 1 species
GAUGAACGCUGGCGGCGUGCUUAACACAUGCAAGUCGAACGGAAAGGCCUCUGCUUGCAGAGGUACUCGAGUGGCGAACGGGUGAGUAACACGUGGGUGAUCUGCCCUGCACUUCGGGAUAAGCCUGGGAAACUGGGUCUAAUACCGGAUAGGACGAUGGUUUGGAUGCCAUUGUGGAAAGUUUUUUCGGUGUGGGAUGAGCUCGCGGCCUAUCAGCUUGUUGGUGGGGUAAUGGCCUACCAAGGCGUCGACGGGUAGCCGGCCUGAGAGGGUGUACGGCCACAUUGGGACUGAGAUACGGCCCAGACUCCUACGGGAGGCAGCAGUGGGGAAUAUUGCACAAUGGGCGCAAGCCUGAUGCAGCGACGCCGCGUGGGGGAUGACGGCCUUCGGGUUGUAAACUCCUUUCGUCAGGGACGAAGCGAAAGUGACGGUACCUGGAUAAGAAGCACCGGCUAACUACGUGCCAGCCGCCGCUGUAAUAC